CCCUGCCAAUAUUGCGAUACAGAGAAAGGGAAAAAAGGGCUUACAAUACUCCCAAAAAACACUUGCGUUACUGAGAACGGAGAAGGAGAGAGAGAUCGAGAGAUCAAAAACUGAAACCCAAAACAUCAGACACCAAUCAAGAUGAAGAAGAGCCGUACAGUCUCUUUUAAUAUCCCCAAACUCUCUCUCUCUCUCUCUCUCUCUUCUCACGAACCCUAAUCUUUUUCUUCAAGAAUAUUCAAUCCCUUCAAUCCAGGCUACAGAUCUAGAGUCUCUAAUUUAAUCAAAGCAAAGUAAGUUGCGGAGACAAGUAGAGAAUCUGUCAUGUAGCCAGAACCACUACAGAGAGCAAAGAGUAGGGAGGCAAUGAGACAUGAGAGAAUUAGAAGUGUUACCAACAAAGGAUGCAAUUUCAACAUGAUUGGUAGACCCAAUGCGGCUGGCUAAUCUUCUUUGCAGGAUAGCCUUUAUUGUCUACAACAAUCUGUCAUUAACACAGCAUAUAAACCUGCUGAAGAUGGAAAAUGAGAAGAUGAUAGCAUGCUUAUUCAAAUGCUUCGCAAACGAAACAAUGCUACUAAACAAAAUGCAUCAAAGAAGAAGAAAAAUUGAAGGAGGAAAAAUAGCAACUACAGAAUUCAAUUUAAUUUUCAGUUUUUGUUUUUCCUCCUCCCUGGUGGGUGAAUUUUUAAUAACAAAACAAUGAAUGUGAUUGCUAUUAAGUUGACAGGUUUUUAGUGGUAUCAUCUUAAUAUCUUUUGGUUAA